rnacentral:rRNA from 1 species
CCUACGGGAGGCAGCAGUGGGGAAUAUUGGACAAUGGGGGCAACCCUGAUCCAGCGACGCCGCGUGAGUGAAGAAGGAUUUCGGUAUGUAAAGCUCUAUUAGCAGGGAAGAAAGAAGUGACGGUACCUGACUAAGAAGCCGCGGCUAACUACGUGCCAGCAGCCGCGGUAAUACGUAGGGGGCAAGCGUUAUCCGGAUUUAGUGGGUGUAAAGGGAGUGUAGGCGGGAAUGCAAGUCUGAAGUGAAAAGCGCGGGCCCAACCCCUGGACUGCAUUUGAAACUGUAUGGCUGGAGUGCGGGAGAGGUAAGUGGAAUUCGUGGUGUAGCGGUGAAAUGCGUAGAUAUUAGGAGGAACACCAGUGGCGAAGGCGGCUUACUGGACAGUAACUGACGCUGAGGCGCGAAAGCGUGGGGAGCAAACAGGAUUAGAUACCCCAGUAGUC